GGCAGACGGGUGAGUAAUGCAUAGGAAUCUGCCUAGUAGUAUGGGAUAGCCACUAGAAAUGGUGGGUAAUACUGUAUAAUCCCUGCGGGGGAAAGAUUUAUCGCUACUGGAUGAGCCUAUGUUAGAUUAGCUAGUUGGUGGGGUAAUGGCCUACCAAGGCUGUGAUCUAUAGCUGGUCUGAGAGGAUGAUCAGCCACACUGGAACUGAGACACGGUCCAGACUCCUACGGGAGGCAGCAGUGGGGAAUAUUGGACAAUGGGCGCAAGCCUGAUCCAGCUAUGCCGCGUGAGUGAGGAAGGCCUUAGGGUUGUAAAACUCUUUCAGCAGGGAAGAUAAUGACGGUACCUGCAGAAGAAGUCCCGGCAAACUCCGUGCCAGCAGCCGCGGUAAUACGGAGGGGGCAAGCGUUGUUCGGAAUUAUUGGGCGUAAAGGGCAUGUAGGCGGUUUGGUAAGUUAAAGGUGAA
rnacentral:rRNA from 1 species